GGCUACUGGAAGAAGCCACUAUGCAACAGAUUCAGGAAUUGCAGGAAGCGUCAUGCACGUGAUAAUCAAAUGGAAGCAAAAAAAGGGGGGACUACACCCAAACCAGACAAAGCUGCAGGCAAACACAUGUAUGGCAUAAAGAAAGUACCUUCUUGCAUCCCCAGAAGGUGAGGAUGAAGAAACGAUCAAUGCUCACAUCAAGAUGCUUCAGAAUGAAUCCAGAAAAACAAGACAGGACAGCUUGACGAUAGACAAUCUAAUGUCACUAACUUUAGCCCAUAGGCGCAAGUGUAUCAUCAGCAGCAACUGGACUGUAUCCUACUGGAAGGAUAUGUAUCCUUGCCUUUUCCAUGAAGAUGAGAGAAACAUCAGAUUGCCCUGUUUAAAUUCCCUGUUUAAUUUUUUUCUUUCGAUGUUGAAAGAGUUUGAGAGACUGUCAGAGGAACCAAUUAAGCAGAAGUUGAAAGCAGGACUUUUGAAUAUGCUGAUCCAUUACUAGAGAUAUGUAAGACUCCCAAGCAAGGUUUUGGAGCUCAAAAACCUAUUAUUGGCUUCAGCAGCAGCAGCAGAAGAUGAAGCCACCAGGAAAAUGGAGCAUGUGGAGCACUUCUGUUGAUUCCUACUAUUUUGGGAGAGAAGGCAUUGCUUUGUCAGCAUAGCCAGGAAAAAAACUGAACAAUCGCCAAAAUCAUCUACAAAAUUAAGCCCGUCAGUGCAGGUCUUAGCAGUGAUCAUGACAAAUUCACGGAAAAUUUGCAAUCAUCAUUCUAUAUUACAGCAAAGAAUGAAGUCAUCUGCGAGACCAACCACCUCAUGUCAGCAGUCUCUCUGCUAAUGUCGGCCCAUUAUUUAUUCAACUUAUCAUACAACCCCAAGAUGAGUAACACCCUCAUAUUCAUUCAGAAGGUUCUGAUGAACAUAGAUUCCACGUCUCAACCCCCAUCCAAGGUCGUGAGAUGCCUGUAUGACUUAAAUGCUGAUGCCAGUAGUUCUUCAGAGAUGUUAAUUACUUGGGUGAUGCUACUGCAACACAGCUGAUCACACUUUCUCUACAAUCACUUUAGGUGUUGUAUCUGUCUUUUAUGUGCAAAAUAGAUUGAAAUAGAUACGACAGGUUGACCGUGAAUUUAGAUAUCAAGUAUGUGAAUUAUUUCGCUUUGCUUCACUACAAAUUUCAGUGGCCCUUGAAUUGGAAAUAUUUUCAUAUCCCAAUAAUUACUUAUAAAUUCUUUAUAGAAUUUUAGUCACAGAUAAAAUAUGAUUUUGCACACACACAAAAGAAAAGAAAAGAUAUUUGGACCCCAAUUUUUUACAGAUCAGAUGAUCAACAACAAGUUUUUUAUUUGGGGGGAAUUGAAAACUAAGCUAUUGAUAUACUACUUGUUGAUUGUUGAACACAUGUGUAAAUAAGUUUAACACCACAAAUUUGGAGAAUUACAACAUUUUAAGUGUUUUCUAUGGAAUUUUAGUUAGUUUGUAAGUUUCAAGCAACUGUGAAAUUCACUUGGUAUUUAAUUCCAAGAAAAAUAUACAAAAGCACUUUUCAAGAUUAUGGCUUCCAAUAUCAAUACAUGAUGGAAACAAUUCUCAAUGUUUACAUUUAUUGAUAUGGUAAGCACAUGCAACUGAUUUGAAACUAAUUUUAUACAUUUGACAAAGCCCUGACUUUAAUUUUAAGCAAAUCUGUACACUUACAAGCAUGUCAAAGGUAUUGCUUAAUAACCCAACCACCACAAUUAUCACGGGCCUUUAAAAAAAAUUGCACAAAAAUAUUUGAAUAAAAAAAGGUCAGUAUCUGCUUAAAGAUACAGCUGCUAUAGGAGGCGGAUUUUGCAGAAAAUACCAGGGCUUCACAGUGAGAGAAAUGGUGUUAAAGAAUGGGGGAUCCUGCGAAGUGCUUUAAACAUUUAUUGAGAAUCCAAAUUGCACAUUUUGAAAUUGUUGUCUUUUGUACUAUUACUGGUAAAAUAUUUUUGUGGGUUUUCCUACAGCAAAAAUUGACCUUUGGGGGAUUCCCAUGUCAUGCAUGGGGAUUCUUAAAUUUAAAUUGUGUUUGUACUUAUGCUCAAGUUUGAAAAAUUUCUGAAUUUUAGAAGGUUUCUGGAAAGCUGUCAUUGGUUUUGAAAUUUCAAAACAAUGGUAUUGUGUUGUAAGCAGAGUCUUAUGAAUUCAUGAUUUUUGAAGGUUUCAAUGAAUUGUUUCAGUUUCAGCGAAUUAUGAAUUGAGAAUUAUGAAUUUCAGUGAAUAAUGAAUUUCAGUGAAUUAUGAAUCGUUUCAAUAUCAGUGUAGAAAUGAUACUAUAAAAAAAUACGAGUUCGAUGAAUUGUUUCAAUUGAAUUGUUUAAAUUCCAGUGAAUUAUGAAUUCAAUGAAUUAUGAAUUGUUUCAAUUUCAGUGAAGAAAUGUUACUAUAAAAAAUGUACUAUUUGGGAAGAGAUUUUGGAAUGAUCUUGAAGACGAUUUUCAUGUCAGUUAAACAAAAUGAUGUUAAAGAAUAUUUCAAAAUGAAAUUCACACCAAAUCUCUGGUGGUUGUGAUGUAUAUCAGUUCUUUGCUCUCUUUUGUGUUUGUAUUAAAUUUAAAGUUAUGUGAAGUACGAUAUUUGAAUUACAGUGGAAUCUCAUUAUAACGAGGUCCUUGGGACCAGAGAAUCUACCCCUUUAUACCGAAACAUUGUUAUAUCAGGCAGAAAAAAUCAUUAAGGGUAAUUACUGUGAUAAAUAAUGGAUUACCAUUAUCACACUCUCUCAAAUUUCAUAGACAUUUUGUGACAGCUUUAUCUUUGCUUAGUCGUUUAAACCAUGUGGCCAAUCAAUUAUAAAAUCUAUCACUCUCUCUUGAUAGUUUUAUUUUUCUCUUGAUAGUUUUAUUUUUCAUUUAAUGAGAGGAAGUUGUGCACUUUUUUACAUUUUUUGUGACUGGAUUCUAUGCUUGAGAAUAGAUUUUAUAAUAGAAAGAAAUGCACAGCCACCAUAAUUAUUUUGCAAGUAAACUCUUAAACAUUCAUCCCAUGAAACACAUUUUAAUUUUCUGUCGUCCACACAAUUACUGUUUUAGGACACAAAAAUUGACACACUAUGUGAAGGAAUUGAAAUGGUGACAUGCAAUGUUGAUGGGAUUUAUGAACAUUUUUUAUAUGCUUUUAUAUAUAUGCUUGUCAAGUAUUGUGAACUUACAUUUAGUGUGACCUUGCCUGUUUGCAUAGUAUUUAGACCAUGGGGACUUCCAUUGAGUAUUUGUUGUCUGUUGUGGUUACAUCACUGAUGCAUAAUGGUCACCUUUGUUUUGGUAAUAUUGGUGGUGACACCGGAGAUUUAUUGUUGAGAGGAAAUAAAUCAGAUGGCAUGUACAAUGC